UCAUUUAAAUUUAAAGCCAAAAUGUAUCAACCAUUCAAAAUACAUCCCAAUAAUAUCAUUCGUUUACAGUUUCAAAUUACUACAUCCACAAAAUAUAUACCAAACUAUCCAUAUAUACAUCUCAAAUUCACUUUUCAAUAUAAUCAAAUAUAUACCAAUCUGAUCCCAUGCUUACAUAGCUCAUAGUUGUAACUAACCAAAUAUGCUCAAGGGGCCUGUCUGGUUCGAAGAAUCUAGACCAUGAUCAGCAUUUCGCAUACAUGUAAUCCAUUUCCUGACCAAGGGAAAAAAAAGAUACAAAAUUCAGAAUUUUAUUCACAGUAGCUUUGCUUGAACAAAAAACAGUCUUUAGGCAUGCAGAAAAUUUUGCACCACCAAAUUAUAGCAUUGGGACCACCCAUGUAUGAUGAAUCAUCAACUAAUUACAGUUAAGCUACUUUGUAUUAUUUUUUUUUGAAUCUGUAGCAUUACCCCAUGGGGUAGCGAACUAAUAGGCAUAUCAAGUAAAGUUUAGAAAUGUAAGUGCAGUAUGGCAGCUUCUUCACCCUGCUGAAUUCCAAUUUACAUGAGAAGAAAAAAAUAAAUGAAACGAUAAAAAAAUCAUAAAAAUACAAGGACUUGCACAUACCAGAAAAAACUGACUACAUUUCUUAGGCCAGUUUAUCGAAUUGGCAACGAGACACUUAUUCAUGACUGUCAGGUACAGCUCCCCGUACCUAAGUUCUCCCAUAACCUUCAAAAGGAGUGAGUCAAUGGCAUGUAUUCCACUUCAACAAGAGGGGAGCCACAUGAUUGAACCAUGCCAACUUCGAGAGGUACCCAUGCAGGCUUAUGUUGGACUUACGUAACUUACCCAAUACAUGGCUUUGUGAAAUGGAUGGUAGCCCAUGCAGAUAAUCUCAACUUUUUAGAUACCCUCAAUUCCAAAAAUUUAAAUAAAAAAUCACAACUGCAGCCUGGUAGUUACCAGAUGCUUCAACAAUACCCAUUGCCAGAGGACUGUAGGCUAAUAAGCUUAUCCUACAAAUGUCAUGGUGCAAGCAUCACCAAGAAUGAUUUCAAAAACAGGACAUAAAUUUAACACAAAUAAUUCCAGCAUCAGAUCAAUAAACAUGAACUCCAUUUUUAUACGGAAGCUCUUGAGAUACGUAUAUACAGCCAAUCUCAGAACAAAGCAAAGUUGCAUUAAACAGCGCACUUCUUCCAGAGUUGCCUCUCCAAGGUUCUUAGUAAAAUUAAAUCACAUAAUCUAAAUUAUCCGUGCUCCAGUCACCAACUAAUAAACACAUGAGAUACCUCUCAUGAUGACAGCACUCGGCCAUUCCUGAAUCGAAAUUUUGGCAGAGCAAGUUAUAUGAAUUCUACAAUAAAUAAUCAAAGAAAAUGAGUUAUGUAUAAGCCUCAAAAUGAAUAAAUCCGUGUGAGAGAGAUAGAGAUGAGAAGUCUCACUAUUGAACUAUAAUUGAGACAUACAACACCUGCACAGAUACUAUUCUAGGAUACCCAGGACAACUUUCAGCAACUUGUAGGAACUUCAUGUGGCUAUAUGGUGUCUCAUUACUGAGACCGAUGUACGUAAUCUACAAGACAUAGUUUCUAUUCUAUUAAGAGGAAAGUCAUGUUGAAGAAAGAAUGACUAAAAAGGAUAAAGUCUGGACAUUAUCACUAACAAACUAUUAUAUAAUGAGGGGUAAUGUAAAUAAAUUUAUGUAACAACAACAAAAACUCCUUAAAUGAAUGAGUACUCAACAACUAAUCUAGCAUUACUCGAUGCUCUGCCUCAACUGUAAUGCCUCCGCUGCUCUCCUUGCCCUAAAACUAAGCACAUGCUAGAUUUUUCAUGGGGUUGACACACUUUUGGAAUCGAAAACCAAAUUAGGCUUAAAGUUGGACUAGGAGAUGAUUUCAAGAUGAAUCUCUGUGGGCAAUUAAGAUAGUGUCAGAUGGGUUUGUUUUCGAAGGCCUCGGGGCUAAUAUGAGGUGAAUUGGGGGUUGAACUGCCAAACAAAAGCCGACUUAACCAACAAAAUAUUUGAACUGGUGUUGCGGCACCGAUAUUUUUUUUGCUAAUCUAGACAACUGACCAUCUUGCGGAUUGCUAUAGUUGACAUAACCAUAGCCCAGAGAUCGACCGGUACUUAAAUCCCUACAAACCCUAACCGAAGCAACCUGACCCACUUGGUUAAACAGGAGACACGACAGAGAGUGGAGGAGGACAGAAAACCCCAGAUUGAGAAAUUUGGUCUAUUUGUUUGUGUUAGGGCUGAGAAAUUAGGAGAGGAGAGAAAUUUGGUCUGAGAUUUUUAGAAAGAUGAACAAAAUUGGAAAAAAUAUAAACUCUAGAUUCAUACCUGAUUGUCUUUUGCUAACAGCGAUGGUGGGGCUGAGAUGGUUAAUCCGCAGAGGAGCGGGAGAGACGUAUGCGGAAGGCCGGGUUUCCUCACCUUCCGGUGAGGCGGCUUGCGAGAAGUGGGUUUUUAACGAAGAAGAUCUGAAUAUGCUGAAUGUUUAGGGAUUUAGAAGAAGAAUAGCUGGUAGGGAUAUGCUAAAGUGGGUUUGCUCCUUGUUUCAUUUCCGCGUCUUUUUUUUAGCUCUGUGUUUUUCUUGAUAGACAACGUUUUUA
rnacentral:lncRNA from 1 species